GUGUAAUUAGUGCAGCCAUCUCUGAAUUUGUGAGUUGCUCUUCAGCUUCACCAUCUUCUGUCGACUCAAUUACCUGAUCAAGGAUUCUAGAGAAAAUACUUCCUGGAAAAGUAUCUAUUUUUUUUUUUUUUCAUCCCGAUGUUUUAAAAGGGCGAGCAAAUGGCCAAGCUUCCAAGAUUUCAGCUGCUCAAGUCGAACAAGCUUUGUUUGUUCCAGAACUCUAUCGCUUUGGCUGAGCUCAUAUCUGAAAACCGUUGAGCUUGAGGAUGGAAGUGUUGGUUGACCUUGAGGAUUGACUUGGGGCAGCUUUGCUUGUGUUUGGAGCUUCAUCAAAAGGGGGCUAAUGUUUUAUCAAGCUGUCCACCACCAUUGCCAGCAAGGUCUAGACAGGAAGAAUCAAUGCAAUUAGCAAGCAGCGUUUCUCACGGCUGGUCAAUCUCUACCCACUCUCUUAACACCACACACACCUCACCUCCACUUGCAUAUUCCUUCUCAUGCUGGAAAAGAGGGCUCUUCUUUGGACUCUUUUGGCUGCAAUAACCAUGCUUUCUUGUUGCUUUAUUUUCAUCUAUCAAUUAGUUUAAUAAUUAAUACAAAAUUCUCUUAACUUUAUUCUAAUAUAAUAUUGUAAGGGUUCCUAUUCCAUUCAUGAAAAGAAUUAGUUAUAUCUAGGAAGGAACCCGCAUGAACAAAGCUCAAAA